GAGGAUGAGAUUGAGAGAGAGGAUUAAAGGGGGAGGAUGCGAGGGAGGAGUAACAAAAGUGAAAACAAUUUCAAAUUGAUUUCAAUUUUUAGUUUUUGUUUUCACUUUUGUUACUCAUUCCUCCCAUCCCCUCUCUCAUUUUCCCUCUCAAUCCCAUCUUCA
rnacentral:miRNA from 1 species